UUAUAGUUCGGCUGGUAGAGCAUGAGACUCUUAAUCUCAGGGUUGUGGGUUUGAGCCCCCACAUUGGGCAAAA